UGGGGGCGUAGUUCAGAUGGUUAGAAUGCCUGCCUGUCACGCAGGAGGUCGCGGGUUCGAGUCCCGUCGCUCCCGA
rnacentral:tRNA from 1 species